rnacentral:rRNA from 1 species
CGUGGGGAGGCCUACCAUGCGCGUCGAGCGGAACGAGUUAUCUGAACCUUCGGGGAACGAUAACGGCGUCGAGCGGCGGACGGGUGAGUAAUGCCUAGGAAAUUGCCUUGAUGUGGGGGAUAACCAUUGGAAACGAUGGCUAAUACCGCAUGAUGCCUACGGGCCAAAGAGGGGGACCUUCGGGCCUCUCGCGUCAAGAUAUGCCUAGGUGGGAUUAGCUAGUUGGUGAGGUAAUGGCUCACCAAGGCGACGAUCCCUAGCUGGUCUGAGAGGAUGAUCAGCCACACUGGAACUGAGACACGGUCCAGACUCCUACGGGAGGCAGCAGUGGGGAAUAUUGCACAAUGGGCGCAAGCCUGAUGCAGCCAUGCCGCGUGUAUGAAGAAGGCCUUCGGGUUGUAAAGUACUUUCAGCAGUGAGGAAGGGGGUGUCGUUAAUAGCGGCAUCUCUUGACGUUAGCUGCAGAAGAAGCACCGGCUAACUCCGUGCCAGCAGCCGCGGUAAUACGGAGGGUGCGAGCGUUAAUCGGAAUUACUGGGCGUAAAGCGCAUGCAGGUGGUUUGUUAAGUCAGAUGUGAAAGCCCGGGGCUCAACCUCGGAACUGCAUUUGAAACUGGCAAACUAGAGUACUGUAGAGGGGGGUAGAAUUUCAGGUGUAGCGGUGAAAUGCGUAGAGAUCUGAAGGAAUACCAGUGGCGAAGGCGGCCCCCUGGACAGAUACUGACACUCAGAUGCGAAAGCGUGGGGAGCAAACAGGAUUAGAUACCCUGGUAGUCCACGCCGUAAACGAUGUCUACUUGGAGGUUGUGGCCUUGAGCCGUGGCUUUCGGAGCUAACGCGUUAAGUAGACCGCCUGGGGAGUACGGUCGCAAGAUUAAAACUCAAAUGAAUUGACGGGGGCCCGCACAAGCGGUGGAGCAUGUGGUUUAAUUCGAUGCAACGCGAAGAACCUUACCUACUCUUGACAUCCAGAGAACUUUUCAGAGAUGCUUUGGUGCCUUCGGGAACUCUGAGACAGGUGCUGCAUGGCUGUCGUCAGCUCGUGUUGUGAAAUGUUGGGUUAGUUCCCCGCAACGAGCGCAACCCCUUAUCCUUGGU